rnacentral:rRNA from 1 species
GACGAACGCUGGCGGCGUGCCUAAUACAUGCAAGUAGGACGCAGUUGCGAACGGGUGAGUAACACGUAGGUAACUACCUAUUAGAGGGGGGUAACUAUUGGAAACGAUAGCUAAUACCGCAUACUAGUAGAUGGACCUGCGUUGUAUUAGCUAGUUUGUGGGGUAAAGGCUCACCAAGGCAACGAUCCGUAGCUGGUCUGCGAGGGCGACCAGCCACACUGGGACUGAGACACGGCCCAGACUCCUACGGGAGGCAGCAGUGGGGAAUUUUGGGCAAUGGGGGAAAGCCUGAUCCAGCCAUCCCGCGUGAAUGAUGAAGGCCUUCGGGUUGUAAAGUUCUUUUGGUAGAGAAGCGGUAUCUACAGAGAAAGCACCGGCUAACUACGUGCCAGCAGCCGCGGUAAUUC